rnacentral:lncRNA from 1 species
UUUUCUAAUCCGCCAUUGACAACACCACCGCCGCCGACGUCGUCUUCGCUCAGCCGCCACCGAAGAACAUCCCCAAGCCCAUCGGAGCUCGUUCGUUGUCUUCUCCCUAGAUCGGAUCAGCUUCUCCCUGGAUUGGAUCAUCUUCUUUCUUGGCCUCGAUUUUGGGUUCGAAUCUGAGCUCCAGAGAGCUGCUCCACCUUAGAGCACUCUGUCGCCGACUCCGUUUUGGGUUUGGCGUUGUUGGACCGGACGAAGUUGGAGAAUCCGAUUCACAAGGUUCUGGGUUCAUUGUAAUUGUGUGUUGAUGAUGGGUGUGAUGAGGUUUGGAGAAGAGUUGCCGAAAUGAGGAGUUGGGCUUGGAGGGAAGUGAGAAAUCCGGAGAGGAGGAUUUGAGGGAAUUAGGUCUGAGGGUGGCAGAGAGGAUUUGUUGGAAGAGGAAGUAAGGAGGUGAAGAAGGAGAAGAGUUGGAAGAAGGAGAAGAAGAAGAGAAGAGUUGCUGAAAUGAGGAGUUGGGUAUUGUUGGUCUCCUCCGAGGUUACUAUUCACGGCGGCAUCUCCGGAUUUUUGGUUCGAUUAUGGUGCUGGCUUAGUCACAGAACAGGAAUUGAUAUUCAAAUUGAUUGUCAAAGGUAAAUCUAAGUUCUUGGAAUGAAACUGUUCUUCAAGAGAUUUCUUGUUGAAAGUUUGGUUGGAUGGAAACUGAUUGGAAAAUUGAUGAAAUCUUGA